rnacentral:rRNA from 1 species
AGCGAACGCUGGCGGCAGGCUUAACACAUGCAAGUCGAACGCCCGGGCAACCGGGAGUGGCAGACGGGAGAGUAACACGUGGGAACGUACCCUUCGGUUCGGAAUAACCCAGGGAAACGUUGGGCGUAAUACCGGAUACGUCCGUAAGGAGAAAGAUUCAUCGCCGAGGGAGUCGGCCCGCGUCCGAUUAGCUAGUUGGUGAGGUAAUGGCUCACCAAGGCGACGAUCGGUAGCUGGUCUGAGAGGAUGANCAGCCUCACUGGGA